ACCAAUCCAAGUAAAAUCGAAGAGGAAACCAGGGUGAUAGUGUUGGGAUGUUAACACUGUUUGUAAGUCUGUCACAAAUAAGGAAUGCAUGCCAGGCAGUUGCUGUACCCUGGUGCAUUUAUGCUGUCCUCGGAUUAAACAGGAAAAUGGGAAGUAAGUUUAGCCUUAUUUUAUGGCUGGCUUACCCUUGGACCCUUCUGAGGAUUCAUAUCUGAAGGGAUCUUUCAUGUUUUUCCAGCAUUUGCUUCUGAGGCCUCAGAGUCCUUCCCAGUAAAGCUAUAAAUUCUGGAAUUCUUGGCUCCUUUUGAGGAAACUUUAGAGCAAAACCAAGUAAGAAAAUGAAAAUGGUAGAAAACCCUACCAGUAGAAUAGAAGUCCACACUGUCUUUGAAUGGCUGGUGACUACCUGACAGGGUGUCAUGGGAUGGAACCGUGGUCAGAGGUCAUAGAAACUGACAGAUUGUGUGUCUUACUUCGCUAUUUCUAAACCUCAAGUUCUCCCACGUGAAGAAUCGAAGUGACAAAUAUGGAGUUGAUUUGGAACAGCCAUGUGGAGCCAAGCAGUGAUGGUAGAUGCUUAUCUUGGUUUACACUUAGUUUUCCUCUUGCCUAUGACCUAUGUUUUUAAAUACUCGGUGGUAUUGGAAAGGAGACUGUUAUAAAGUUUCCAUUGUUAUAUAGAGUUUCAUUGUUAUAUAGAGUUUUCAUUUAAGGUACAGUGGUGCAAAUGAGAUCGCUAUUACGAAAGUCUAGGGUAGAAAUUAACUGCUUUAUUUGUUUUUUGUUGAUGGUGAGUGAAACCAGCUUCAACUCCUAGCUCACUAGUCUCUGUGCAUGGGAAAAUUUAGGCAGGACAGGACCUAGCAUCUACUUGAAAGCACUAAAAGUAAGAAUAUAUUGUAGUUCUUGAAGGCAUUAGUCAGGGCACUGUCCAGCCAGGACACAGGCUGUGGGCUCUCACUUGCCCAGUGAUUCAUUUUGGGUUAAAAAGGCUUAAGUUUGAAGCAUUUUCAAGUUAUUGUGAAACACUAAAAACAAAUGAACAACAACAAAACCCUUCUGGAAUUGUUACGGAUUUUCAAUCUAUCCCCUUAAAAGUCUGGAACCAGUUCACUAGGAUUGCUUUGGCAAGUACUCAGUAGCAUGGUAACCUCAGGAGGUAAAGGUUAACAGCACCAGGACAUGCUACUGCACUGUCACUCUCUGACAUUACUAAAUAUCCUGCCUCACAGACGCAAACCAUUCCAAGUGAGGAACUGACCAUUCACUCAGAGGUCAUAAGUAUAAACAUCUCUGUAUGCCCCCCCUCCCACACACACACUGAUAAGGCAGGACUGUGGCCCACACCCAUACAGCCUUGAAGUUUACAGAGACAGAAGUGCUCCUAAGUCAGACUCCACUUGGCUCUGAUUCAUGGAGGGCAUCCAGUUAGACAAAUUGGGUAUGAUGUAAUAAUUAGCCCCAACUGAACUCCUUUCCAUGUCCCACGUGGACUGUGCUGUGGCCAUACACUGUGACCAGCUCUUCUCAGUGCCUGGAAUAUGUGCUUUCCCCACUUGUGGUUCUUUGGUAAAGGCUGCUGUGACAUAAGUGAAGGGGAGGGGCCUCUUAGAUUUAGAUCAGAGUUGAAAUGACAAGUCUCAGCUUUAAGUGAUUAACUGCCUUCCAGGAAGAGCUGCCUCUGGCCUCUGUGCCUCUGUGUUUCUUAUAUUAGACCUACAGAGUAGGCAGCCUGAGAAAUGAAUAUGGAGUAAAGUGGAGGGAAGUUAUUGACCAGUGGAGUCAUUCUAUCUAAGCAGCAAGUCACAGCACAGAGGUCUGUGAGCUGCUAGGGUAGGUGGGCAUGGUGCCCAAGCUGUCCCCCAAAGUUUCCUAUAUUCCCCAGAGAGAUGCCAUAAAUGUCCCCUGUUUCAUUGGGAAAUCUUCUAAGUAUGAGAGAGAAAAAUCUCAAACACUAAAAUCUUUAUUCCUUUUGCUUGUAAGAUGAAGAGACUUAACUACAUUUCAGUACAUAUUUUCAUAGAUUCUACAAAAAAGCAAUAACUUUCAUGUAAUAAUUUUAAUGAUCUUUUUUACUUCCAAAAGUCCAUAGGAGCAUCUGGUAUACGAAUUAAAAAAGAAGCAUCAAAUUUGAUGGUUUUAAUUGCAUGUUGAAAAAAUAAAAAUGUUAUUUUUCCAAAUAAGUAUGCCAUUUUAUUAUUCUACUUUAUAAUUUGUCAAAAGUUCUUACUGAAUAUAGACAUGUUUAUUUUGUGCAUUUAUUGUCGUUGUAACUACCUCCUUCUUUGUUCUUUGACAAUUUCUCUGUCUUUUGUGUGUGUGAAAGAGGACUGCUUACUGUGUAAACUUAAGACAUUUCGACUGGAAUUGGCAGCUUUCAUUUGGAAUAAUGAUUACUCCUAAUUUUGUAAAGGAGGAACAUGAAAACCAUGGAUAUUUUAAAUAGGUUAAAAAGUCAAAAGGAAUUCUAGAAACUUCUGCACUGUUGUGUAACUCUUGCUGUGAUACUCAUAAGGAAGUAAAGACCAGAGGAAAGUGCCCAUGUCUGAAGUGCAUGAGAGUUAACCAACUAUAUGAAGACCUUUCAAAAUUUACAAUAACCUCCCAGCAUCCAGGUCUCCAGCCUGUGAUCCUGCAGCCUGCAUUCAGGAUGGGUCUUUCCCUAUCAGCUGAUCCUCUCUGAAAUACUCAGGGACACAAUCACCAGUCUCUUAUGAUCCUAUACCAAGUGAGUUGACAACAAGACUAAAACAUCAGAAGUAAUAAAUACUGGGCAUAGAAACAAAAUGGGGCCUCGACACCUUCUGAUUUAAAGUCAUAAGCCUGUCCUAUGAAGAGAGUUAUGGUACAGUGUGUACAUUAAAUGAUGUAAUAAUACAGGGUCUGGAGAACAAAGCUAAAAAAAUCCACCAAGCUAAGUUCCAACAAUGGUGCCUGAAAGUUAAACACAUAGUGCUCAAAACAUCGAAUUCCCACAUGCGGCAUUUGGUCUUUAUCUGACAGUGUGCAAAUAAAAUAAAAUAAAAAUUUAAAAACCAAAUCAAAUAUAUGAGCUCUCUAAAGAUAGAAUCUGAACCCAUGUUUUUCCCUUUUAAAGAACUUGGAAGGAGAUGUCCUUGGUACUCACUUUGAAAGUGAUUGAGAAAUCACAUCAAAGUCUUGGGGCAAAAUCAACAGUACACAGUAUGUCAAUCUAAAUAGCUUUCAAACCGAAAGGCAUCAAAAUGGAAAAGGAGCCUACAGAAUAAGGAAAACAUUUCCAGGUUGCAUAUUUGAUGAUGGAGUGAGACUCAAAAUUUAUAAUGAAUGCUUACAAUUCAAUGCCAGGGAAGAAAAUACCUGGAUAAAACUGAGCAGACCCAGACCUUUCCCUAAAGAAAACAUAUGAUGCCCAGUUGAUACCUUCAUCCUCGUUGUCUUCAUCGUUAUCGUCGUCACCCUCGAUGCUGUUGCUGUUGUCCGUAGCCAUUGCCAGUUGCCUUGCCAGUAGCCCGUCCCCGUCAUCAUCGCAAUCGUAGUCAUCAUCAUCGUCACCAUCUACUAGGACUAUUCUUUGUUUCUGUUACUCUUCUUGCUUGUUUCGUGCCCAUCACAAUAACUCUUGGUCACUAUGACUCAUGCAUACCUACGGCUGCUUCAGGAAAAGGUCCACAAUGGAGGACAAAGAAUGAAAAAGUACAAUUUCUGAGUGACAUGCCAAGUAUCACAUCAGUACCUCCAGGAAGAACAGUCUCCAUACUCGAGUGUCACCUAGAAAACCAAUGGACUGAGCCUCUGUUCUCAUCAGCACACAGACACUCCAUGGUAAAGUGUCGGUGACAAUGAUGCCUUUGUGCUCCCUUUCAUCUGUGGUAAGGUAAAGAUAGAACACUGUUCAAUCCCUAGGGCUCCUUCUAGAAUAUCGGUGCAUCCUAUAUUUAAUUGAUCAGCUGGCUCGCUGCUGCAGGUCACGGUGAGUAUAGUCCUCACCAGCAGAAAAAGCUCGUUCCUGGAUAGGCAACAGCAACUCUCUAGCUUUUGCUUCUUCUGGAUAGUGUUCCUAAACACAGGAAGUCUUGGUAAUUGUUUCUUGUUUCAUUACUGUAAAGUAUUUUCUGUCCAUGUGACAGGCAAAUUUAUGUAUUUCCUGCCAAUCAAGGAAGGAUUUUAUCAGAACUGUGAUAUGAGGAUUUGUAUGUAUUAUAUGGAUAAGUUAAAAAAGUAAAAGUGUCAAAAAAGAUUCUCAAGAUGAAAAUAUUUACAAUGCAAUCACAAUUUUAACUUUGGUAAAAAUAACUUUAUUCUGGUUAUAUUUGGUAGAAUAUAAACAACUUUUAUAUUCACACAUACUAUUUAUAAUGUGUACUAUUUAGACAUUAUUAUUGGGCUUAACAAACAUUGGCAUUAUGCUCAUUGAAAUAGCUUUACUUCAGAUACAAAUUCUAACUGUAGAUAGCAUUUGUAGAGAACUCAAAAUUUCUGCAUAAGACAUAUAAAUCAUGAUUUUGAGCAAAAGUGAUGUGAUUUUUUUUGUUAAUUAUCACCAUAAAGUUACACUCACUCUGGCC